CAUGAACAACCAGCAUUUUAUUGCAUUUUUAGAAAGCUUACGUCAGUUACUGAGACUGACUGUACAACAAAAUAGUCUGCAUCAGACAGACCAGGAAUGAUGAGGAGAAUACAGACUGAUGAUGGAGGUGAUGAGCAGGAUCUUUAGUUAAUAAACAGAAAACUACAGAGUACAGCUUCAACAGAAAACUAACUUAGCUGCUGCAUUAAAGCACUGUGACAGCUAUUCUCCUGUACCCUCCUUCCUCUCUCCAUCCAUCCUCCCUCCACCCCUCCUCCAGAAGCAUGGGUUAAGAGGGUGAUGGUACAACACAGUGGUGAAUGACAGUGGGGUGGUCAUGAUUGAUGGAACCGUGGUAAAUUAGCAUGGCUGCAAGUGUCUUGAGGGGAAAUCUAAUGCCACCUACCACAGAGCACAGCAAAGUCAUAAGGUUACUGAUAUUUCUUGUUUUACAAUCAACAUAUAUCAAGGAUGAGUACAGAGUCCGAUUCACAUCCGACUUUUAGCCUUUAACCUUUGUGCUCCACUUAAGUCGGCUACCUGCUGUGCUUGAUUUUUACUGAUCAAAAAAUAAACAUUUCCAAACAGUUGAGAUAUAGAUAUUUAGAGGCCAACUAAAAAGCGAUAUGUAUUUCACCUAAUGAGGAUGUACUGAACAUGAUGAUGACACAUCUUUGAUAAUAUAUGUAGGAAUGAAUGGAUUCCUCUGGGGAAAAAACAAAGCAUUUAACAAAUAUUCUUUACAUCUUGGCACUGCAUAUUUUUCUUCUUUUCCCUAUUUGUUUCAUAUAAAAUAUCAUUAGAUUGAUACACCCUUAUAUUAUUACUGACCACUUAACCAUUAUUUUUCAUCUCUGUGACCCUGGAAUUAGUCAUGCAAGAUAUCUCCGUCUUGUAGAGAAAAUAUACCUGUCUGCCAUUUCUCUGAGCACUAAUGUUUAUAGCCACAGAAGGCAGUGGUUAGACCAUCAAAAGGAAGUAUCAAAAACAGCUUAACACACGGAAGAAAACAAUAUGUACAAAAUCCUUAGGUCAAUGAUAACAGAGAAAAGUCUGUUUUCUAUUUUACAGUUUAAAAUCCAAAAUCUGGGAUAAUCCCCAACCCUGCCCCGCCCAUCUCACACAGAUGUCUGCAUGUAUGACUUUUUAAGCAAGGAUUACUAAGUAAAAUACAUUUGCAGCACAGUUUGCUAUUCCAAUACAUACAGCAGUUUUCAUAGCUAUUUUAUAGUUCAUACAAAGCCGUUGUGAUAAAGCAAAAAGAAUAACACAAAUGCAUUUUUGAUCUUUGAAAGACACAAGGAAAGAAAAUGACAAGAAAAAGACAAGGCUAUACUGACAUGUACGUACACCCUACUGUUGGAAAGCCCAUGACCAAACAAAUGACAAUAGAUUGUGGAAAAUGGGAUGAAAUAAAGCUGGGUGAUUUCUUAAUGAAAAAAGGCCUAAGGUUUGGAUUGUGAGACCCUCAAGAUAACCAAGGUCUAAUUUUAUAUUCAUAUACUUUUUUGGGGUGUUUUUUACAAAAAAAAUCUCUCUCUCCAGUAUUAGACUACACAUGCAAGACAUAGAACAAAGUACAACUGGGUGAAAGUUUUUUUUUCACUUUUCAUUGAAUUAUUCCCUAUAGGUUGGAACUGAGGUAUGCAUACAGUUUUCGCAGGCUGUUAUCUUUAGUAAUGUCAAGCUACACAUACUGAGAAUGUUCAAAUCUCCCCCUUUACAAUACCAAGCAAACCAGCAAAAGACUAGAUUUGGAUGAGCUCAAGUUGUUCUCACGAUCCCAGUCCGGCUGUUACUGACCCAUCCCACAGCUGCAUGAUAAUGGAUAUUAAAUACAUUUUCUGAAAACCACAGACUGCCCUUUUCAUGUGUAAUAGUAAAUGCAUGGUGGAAUGUUCAAAUAACUGCCAUAAAGUACCCUGUACCCAGCUUAUUAGUUGACAGGAGUGUUUUUUAAUAUAAAAAGUAAUACGUUGACAGAAACUAAACACAAUCAUAAAGCCUUACCAAUGUUAACAAAGAACAGUAGAAUCCCAUCAAGAUAGCAGGACUCACUCAAAAGUGGCAUACAAUCAUUGGAAAGGAUACAAAUUCAUAAAGAAUAAAACAAAAUAUUUAAUCAUUGGGUGGUCCAGUUGAAGUAUAGAAUCCUUUUCACAUUGUUCUCUACAAAGCUCUCCUGUCUACUGCUAAAUCAUUGCCAUCCUCAUUGUGACCAUAAUCUCCUUUCAUCCCUCUAGGUUGCACAGCAAUCUGCUGCUGAUAGACAGAGUGAUGCCUUUUCCUCUCGUUGGCCCAAAGAAUAUGUUCCCCUAAUUUGGUCAUAAUGUUUGUCUGACUCUCUGCAUCUCCCUUUCAGUUGUGGUCACUGCAAAGUCCUGCAGCUACUGCACUCAACAAGAGACUCCUUUGGCUUUAAAGCUAAUGACAGUCAGACAGCUUGAGGAGCGUCCUCUCUAAUCAAUGUGCAAUUGGAUUGACACAGUUGAGACUAUACUCCAUCUUUAGAUCCUUUCACAGCCAAUGGGAGAGAAUGGAGGAUAUUUGGCCUUAUCUGCUAUUGCAUGAAACAGAGAACAUUGUUUUUACUUUGUAGUUUAUCUUUGGUAGUCACAGAACAAGAUUUUAGAAACAUCAACAACUAAAAACAAAAGUUACAAAUAAAAAAAGAAAUAAUAAUAAAUAAAAAAUGCAAAGUGGUUGGUUGCAGUCUUUAAAAAGUAAUGUUUGUGAGUCUUUGUAUGAGCCUGUUUCAUAUCAUAAACCAACACUACAGUAGGAUCAAGCCCAUUUGUAUUCAGCCUCACAGCCCCAGCAUCAAUCCCAUCCACCCUAUUGCAGGGUCUACAUCACUACUCUGACUUAGUCAUUGGGUUCUGCUGAUGUUGACCCCAAACAGUACCCAGAUCAUCAGUUACCUUGUGGUGUGUGGGUUUCUGGGGGCAUAACAUGUCUGCCAAUACUGGAAUGAAGCAAUGAUCAGGUCUUAUUGCCAGUUUUUGGGAUUAUCCCUAAAUUAAGAACAUGAAUAUUUCAUCUGAUGUGUGUAAUUAUUAAUAAUCACAAACAAAUUUGAGAGCCAACUGGUCAUGCAUAUGGUAAAAAAAAAUAACUUUGAUAUCUUCAAGCAAGGCCAAACAAUCCUUCCAUGACUGAAAUUACACUGUGGAAAACUAUACAUGUUUGAACUACAAUGAGAGUUGUGUUCAGGAAUCACAAUUAGUUGGUCUAAAAUAUUAUCUUUGUAAUACACACCUGACAUUUGAUUUUCUUUCUUAAACUGGGAGCUUGCGAAUGAUCAGAAAUUUGGUUGCAGCUAACGCACUGCCCUGAAGGGCUGUUUUAAAAUAUAAUUGAAUGAGGAUAAAUCAUAACCUGCAUGAUUUCUCUGUCAUUCAUUCCCAUCUUAAAUGAAACUUCAUUGAUGCGUGGAGAGAGCCUUCAUUAUGAGUAGUGCAUUGUGGAUGGACUUGAUGAGCUUGGGGGGAUGCGAUGAGGAUGGACUUGAUGAGCUUG
ensembl:lncRNA